rnacentral:lncRNA from 1 species
CCUGGGUCAGAUUGAACACACACAGGGAAGGCACCUGUCAGGAAGGCUGGAAGGAAAACAGCCCACUGUGUGCGUCUGUGACAUGUGACCCUGCCAGGGAGGACUGCUCCUGACAGUGAGCCAAACUGGGUCUCUGCCGUGCAACUUGUGCCCAGGAGGAAGGAGGAGCCACUCUAUAAUGCGGGUAUAGACAAAAUUCCAAGGGAACACAGCUCAACAGCCAUCCUAUGCGGGGAGCCAGGGACGAAAGAAGCUGGGAAUGUUUUGGAAGAUACAACGUUAGAGGUCACCUUGACUGGCUCUCACACCCUGAAAGGGCAAUCAGGUAAGAGUCCCCACGACUGUGGCUUUCCAACCUGCCUGGCUGUUACCUGUAAUAAGAAUUACAUUUUAUUAAUUUAUUUUUUUUUAGAGGAAAACAAUUUUGGCGUGGGGGUAUUUUUUCUUUUUUCUUUUUAGGGCCGCACCUGUGGCGUAUGGAGAGGUUCCCAGGCUAGGGGCCACAUCGGAGCUACAGCUGCCAACCUAUACCACAACCACAGCAACACAGGAUCCAAGGUGCAUCUGUGCCCUACACCACAGCUCACGGCAACGCCGGAUCCUUAACCUACUAAGCAAGGCCAGGGAUCGAACCUGAGUCCUCAUGGAUGCUAAUUGGAUUCAUUUCUGCCAGGCCGCAAUGGGAACUCCAAGAAGUACAUUUUAUAUCUCAACCCAGAACACACAUAAAGGCACAUAUGUAACUGAAAAAAGCAUUCCAGAAAACAGUGCUUUUCUUAUGUUCACUUUAUUUUGAUAUUUUCUAUUCUACUAUAUACUAUUCUUUGUAUGUUUUCAUUUUUAAUUAAAAAUUUAUUUUUUUAUUCUAUAUUUUUUUUAUAAA